ensembl:snRNA U6 U6 spliceosomal RNA
GUGCUUGCUUCAGCAGCACAUAUACUGAAAUUGGAGCAGUACCGAGAAGAUCAUUAUGGCCCCUUGCACAAGGAUGACAUGUUAAAGGAAGCAGAAAGGGGAGAACAGGAGCUU